CUGCUCUCCGCGCGCUCGCCUCUGCCGCCGCAUUUCCCCUUGGAAUUAAGUAUGUAGCGACGUCCUGUGGCGCAUUGCGACAAUCUGCGCCAAAGCAAUUGUCGAUUAGCAGACGUGGUCCCCUGGUGAAGUUCACCUUGAAUACUCGGAUACCUACUACAUUCCUGCUUCUUCGUGUUAAUUAUUAAUGUUUUCUGAUAUUUGGCUUGCCAUAAUAUGGUCAUCAUGAAAAGAUGUUGGAAGCCUUGUUAGAUAAUAUUUUUUUCAGGACAAUUAUUAUUAAGUACUUACACUUUUGAACUUUAACAAUCAUUUUAUGAUACUGGAAGUAUCAAAAAGAACGUUACUUACAUAGAUUUACUACAUCCAUGUUACUUACAUCAAGAUUGUCUUUAGUACGCAUAAGUCGCCUAGCAUAAGUCUCCAAUCAAUUUCAUACUUUAAAGUGCACUAGCAAAGAGUCGAACCCGAUGCGAUUUCUUAGAGGACAAAUCUGUACAUGAUAAUGCAAAAUAAAAAAUAUAUAGAAAUCCACUAUACUUUUGAUAGUUACUUAUGUCCCGGAAUAAGACGAAUAAGUAGUUAUCACGCACUAUAUUAUCGGCGAUGAUGAGUGCAUCUUCUUAGGAAGGCAACCUAAAGCAGCUGUAUGUUGUGUUCUGACGGCU